ensembl:snoRNA
GGCCUUUGUGUUGCCCGUUCGCUUUCGGAAACUAGUGAACGUGGUGUCAAAAAAGGCGCAAAUGAAACACCCUGGCAGCCACGUCCUGCCUUUGAAUUCGGUUUCUUUGGCGUCGGAGCUGCGUAAGGAACAGUU